rnacentral:rRNA from 1 species
CCUACGGGGGGCAGCAGUGGGGAAUAUUGGACAAUGGGCGAAAGCCUGAUCCAGCCAUGCCGCGUGUGUGAAGAAGGCCUUCGGGUUGUAAAGCACUUUCAGUGGGGAAGAAAGCCUUGGGGCUAAUACCCUCGAGGAAGGACAUCACCCACAGAAGAAGCACCGGCUAACUCCGUGCCAGCAGCCGCGGUAAUACGGAGGGUGCGAGCGUUAAUCGGAAUUACUGGGCGUAAAGCGCGCGUAGGCGGUCUGAUAAGCCGGUUGUGAAAGCCCCGGGCUCAACCUGGGAACGGCAUCCGGAACUGUCAGGCUAGAGUGCAGGAGAGGAAGGUAGAAUUCCAGGUGUAGCGGUGAAAUGCGUAGAGAUCGGGAGGAAUACCAGUGGCGAAGGCGGCCUUCUGGACUGACACUGACGCUGAGGUGCGAAAGCGUGGGUAGCAAACAGGAUUAGAUACCCGUGUAGUC